ensembl:lncRNA
GCUACACUUGGAGCCUACACCAUGCUCUUAUCAGCCUAGGCAAGGCACUGUCCGAAUCCCUGCUUUCCCCAGAGACUUCCGCCCCAGCCAGCAUCUGUUUCCUCUGCUAUAUUUAAACAACCAGGUUAGUGAACUUGGGACAGCAUUUCUGCCCAGGAGGAACAAAGCCUUCCACAGAACACACAGGAUAUAUUGUGAUUCUGAGGCCUUGUGGGUUGCUGUGUGCUCCUUCUCAGCUACUGGGAAUCAAAAUACAAAUCCAAUGAAUACUUAAGAGCUGUAUCCAGAACUAAAACAUACCGUGGCUGUCAGAAAGUCAAGAGGAAGAAAUCAUGAAAGUCAGGGGAGCACCUCGUUCAAAGUAUCUGACUAAAACUACAUCAACUUCACUGAAAAACACAACUGCUCUUUCAGAAUUGGAUCUCAUAGCAAAUAUGUAUCAAAGACAUGCUAUGGACAAGCAAAAUGUGCAUGUGUUAUUCCUUGCUCUCAAGUUUAUCAUAUUUGGAAACAAGAUUUGUGUUGGGAAGUUCACCACUCACUCCAUUAACCUCUACAACAGUUGAGGUCUUCACAUUACCAAGCUUACAGUGUAG